UGUGAAAUGAUAAAUUAGAUUUUUAUAAAGACCUUAUAAAAAACAAUGAAACAUGCUAUAAAUAUCACAUCACAUAAAGAUAGGUAACCUUGUUCACACUAGGUUAAAGACAAAGUUGGGGACAAUAGUCUUUAUUCAAUGGUUUGGGAGCAUGAAUACAAAACUCAAGUCGUGAUGAGAUUGUAGAGGCCACACAAUUAUGCAUCUUAUCAAAAUGAACACAAAUCGAAUUAUUGCAAUCACAUUUUUGUCGCAUUUACUUAUUCAGGAGAAACAUAAUUAUUAGAUCGAGAUUGAUCAUCCAGAUUUAAUUAUUAAUUUUGAUUUUAUUUUUUAAAACUAUAAAUUUAAAAUUUAGAUUGUCCAAUCUCGAUCCAAUAAUCAUAACUUUUCUGAAUAUAUAAAUACGACAAAAAUCAACUUCAUACAAGUCUUUUUAAGGCGGCCGUCUUACCACUUUAUGAACUUUUUCUCCCCCAUAUACAUCAACCAUACAUAGGGUUUGGUUUUAGGUGACAAAGAAAUCAUUUUGACUUGAUUUGUUUCUUAGAAUGUUUAUUAUUCACUACAUUUUUUAAGGGUCCGUUU
rnacentral:lncRNA from 1 species